UGCAGAGAAGAUCUUCAAGGCCAGUC
rnacentral:piRNA from 1 species